rnacentral:rRNA from 1 species
UACGUAGGGACCGAGCGUUGUCCGGAAUCAUUGGGCGUAAAGAGCGUGUAGGCGGCCACUUAAGUCCUGCGUGAAAUCUUGCGGCUCAACCGCAAGCGGUCGUGGGAAACUGGGUGGCUAGAGUGCGGGAGAGGAGAGUGGAAUUCCUGGUGUAGCGGUGGAAUGCGCAGAUAUCAGGAAGAACACCCGUGGCGAAGGCGGGUCUCUGGGCCGAUACUGACGCUGAGGAGCGAAAGUGUGGGAGGCGAACAGG